GUUUCACGGAAGAAAUAUCUAAAUGGCCGAAACUUAUACAACUGGCUGCAUAACUUGUGCAACUCCUUAUGCAGCUUCAUGGAAAAAUGUCUCAACUGGCCAAAACUUGCAUAACUUACUGCAUAACCUAUGCAGCUUGGUUGUGCUCUUUCACGAAAGACUUCAAAGCAUGCAGGAAUUUGCAUAGGCAACCUACACAGCUUGUGCAACUUCACGGGAAGCCUCUGGAAAUUGUCAGAUUUGCACAAGAUCUUGCACAACCUAUACACAUCUUCAUAAAUGAGCUGGAAGGAGAUUCUCCCACGUGAAUUGUUACCUCACACACACCAUUUUAGGGCUUUUGUCAGAGAAUAUAAAUAGAGAUUUUUUACCUCAUUUAGCAGCGG
rnacentral:misc_RNA from 1 species